rnacentral:tRNA from 1 species
GUCAGGAUGGCCGAGCGGUCUAAGGCGCCAGACUCAAGAGCAAUCUUACCAUCGGUAUGGUGGUUGAAUGAGCGUUCUGGUCCUCUCUGAGGGCGUGGGUUCAAAUCCCACUCCUGACA